rnacentral:rRNA from 1 species
UGAGGAAUUUUGGGCAAUGGGCGAAAGCCUGACCCAGCAAUGCCGCGUGAACGAUGAAGUCCUUCGGGAUGUAAAGUUCGUAAGCAGGAGAAGAACACAAUGACGGUAUCCUGUGUAAGCCCCGGCUAACUACGUGCCAGCAGCCGCGGUAAUACGUAGGGGGCAAGCGUUGUUCGGAUUUACUGGGCGUAAAGGGCGCGUAGGCGGCGCGUAAAGUCGGACGUGAAAUCGCUGGGCUUAACCCAGCGGCUGUGUCCGAUACUUGCGUGCUUGGAGUGCGGGAGAGGCAAUCGGAAUUCUCGGUGUAGCGGUGAAAUGCGUAGAUAUCGAGAGGAACUCCAGUGACGAAGGUGGGUUGCUGGACCGACACUGACGCUGAGGCGCGAAAGCUAGGGGAGCAAACGG